rnacentral:rRNA from 1 species
UGUGGUGUUGUGGGGUGCAGUGUUUCUGGGCUGCUGACCAGGAGCGUGCGCGUGCGUGUUAGCGGAAGCAUCUGGGAUGGUGCGCCGGAGUGGGUGAGAGUCCUGUGCGUGAAGGCGUGUGCGUGUGUGUUGUUGUUGCCCCGAGUAGCAGCGGGCUCGUGGAAUCUGCUGUGAAUCUGCCGGGACCACCCGGUAAGCCUAAAUACUCAGUGUGACCGAUAGUGGAUAGUACCGUGAGGGAAUGGUGAAAAGUACCCCGGGAGGGGAGUGAAAGAGUUCCUGAAACCGUGCGCUUACAAUCCGUCAGAGCACUUCUUUUAGUGUGAUGGCGUGCCUUUUGAAGAAUGAGCCUGCGAGUCAGCGGCAUGUCGCGAGGUUAACCCGUUAGGGGUAGUCGUAGCGAAAGCGAAUCCUCAUUGGGUGUUUUAAGUGGCAUGUCCUGGACCCGAAGCGGGGUGAUCUACCCAUGGCCAGUGUGAAGCAGCUGUAAGAGGUUGUGGAGGCGCGAACCCA